UACGAGGGGAGCAAGCGUUGUUCGGAUUUACUGGGCGUAAAGGGCGCGUAGGCGGCUCAACAAGUCACUUGUGAAAUCUCCGGGCUUAACUCGGAACGGUCAAGUGAUACUGUCGAGCUAGAGUACAGAAGGGGCAACUGGAAUUCUCGGUGUAGCGGUGAAAUGCGUAGAUAUGCGGAGGAACACCGAUGGCGAAGGCAAUCCCCUGGGCCUGCACUGACGCUCAUGCACGAAAGCGUGGGGAGCAAACAGG
rnacentral:rRNA from 1 species